AACGAUGGCAGAGGAGCAAAGCAAGAUAAAUGGAACAAGCACCCUUGGCAAACAAGAGUGCAGCUUCAGGAAGCAGUAGUGUGGACAAGUUAAGUGGAAGCUAAUAUCACGUUUUGAAGUCUCCGAUCUCGGACACAUCUGAAAAAAAAAGAGCAAGAACGAAAGAGAGCAAGAGGAUGGCAAUGAAUGACUUUUUUGAGAGAAAGUGGACCGCAGGGACAUUGUGGACUCUGAAUGGAGAGAUCGCACAGAGAUGGCCGAAUCCGACCUCCUCGGAGUACCAAUGGGUGGCUGAGCUCCAGCAGCCACGGCUGAGAAGGUUGGACCAAAUGACGUCUCCAUCCUGCUCUGCAGCACAGGAAGGUUACAUGAAUUGUUUAAUUAUUUCAGAGGAAGAACGUUUGGACCAUACCGCAUAGAUGUACAUGUAAUUCUAUUGUGUGGUGGCGCAAAUUCCGAUUUUAAAACUAACUCUUGCAUUUUGACAUCAUUCACCCGUGUUAAUUUAUUUGCAGCUGCCUCACAAUUCUCAAUGUUGAUGCACAAGACUCUUAAUUUGGAAACUAUGAUGCCAUCUAACCUAAAUCAUAGAUAGAUUGCAAUCCUGUAGAAAACACCGGACCACAAAAUAUGUAUUCAUUUGUAACACUAAACCUUUAGCUCCUGUUUGUCUUACCCCGCUAGCUGGGUCAGCCGUGGGAGUGGAGGGGCUGCAGGGAAUGAUAUCUGGGUUUUCUGCUGUUCCACCAGAGUAUGUGUUGUAAUAUCUUGCUCCUGCUCAUAACCCGAAAUGCACACACGUGGAGAGGACACACGAGCAAGCCAGAUAGUCGUUUAGGCCUGGGAAACAAGAGGGGAAAAAAAUGUCAAAAUUGCACUCACAGCCUUCUGGAUUAUUGCAAAUCAUUCAUCAAAUCCAAAACAUGGCAUGCUCGCUCACAUGCAUGUAAAGUAAUAAAUACAUGUCAAGGGAAAAAAAUCAGUGAAUUAAUGCAAUUGCUCCUCCU